GCCUUCGUCGUCUAGUGGUCAGCAUGCUCGGCUUGUAUUCAAGAGAUCCGUGGUUCGAGUCCUGGCGAGCGCA
rnacentral:tRNA from 1 species